rnacentral:rRNA from 1 species
GACGAACGCUGGCGGCGUGCCUAAUACAUGCAAGUUGAGCGCUGAAGGUUGGUACUUGUACCAACUGGAUGAGCAGCGAACGGGUGAGUAACGCGUGGGGAAUCUGCCUUUGAGCGGGGGACAACAUUUGGAAACGAAUGCUAAUACCGCAUAAAAACUUUAAACACAAGUUUUAAGUUUUAAAGAUGCGAUUGCAUCACUCAAAGAUGAUCCCGCGUUGUAUUAGCUAGUUGGUGAGGUAAAGGCUCACCAAGGCGAAGAUACAUAGCCGACCUGAGAGGGUGAUCGGCCACAUUGGGACUGAGACACGGCCCAAACUCCUACGGGAGGCAGCAGUAGGGAAUCUUCGGCAAUGGACGAAAGUCUGACCGAGCAACGCCGCGUGAGUGAAGAAGGUUUUCGGAUCGUAAAACUCUGUUGGUAGAGAAGAACGUUGGUGAGAGUGGAAAGCUCAUCAAGUGACGGUAACUACCCAGAAAGGGACGGCUAACUACGUG